AAAUAAGAACAGAGCCAUAUGUGCAUUCUAACAUCAGUUAUGCUAUCAUAUGUGCAGCUGCAAUUCAAGAAAAUAAUGAUAUCAUCAUCUUCAAAUACUUGUGCCAUGGUCCGGGUACACCAACAAUAUCAAUACCUGGCAAAUUGACUGCAGGAACGAUCAUCCAAUCUUCACAUGCCCAUACACGGUUUAACAUAACUUUUAAAUCCGGGGCAGCAGUCGUUAUUCAGGGUGGCAGCUUUCCUCGCGUUUUCAUACGUUCUGCGAUACAAGAUUAUAAUGCUACUCUAGGUUUGUGUGGAACAUUCAAUGGAAACUAGCACGAUGAUCUUACACGUCCAAACCACCACGUAGAUAAUUUUUCAGACCCUCAUCUGCUUCCGGAUUCGUUUGUACAUGCAUGGAGAGUUCCAAUUGGACAGUCUCUCUUUGAUCAAUAUGGCAGAAAGAAACGAGGGGGCGAUGGCAAGGAAUAGAAGCUUUCUGAAGUUGAUUGACACGAGAAUCAUGCAAUUAAGCCGACUGGACGGAACUUAAAUAAUCUCGGUUACUCGAUGUAUAUUAACAAAAUAAACAUGUAGACCUUUCAA